rnacentral:rRNA from 1 species
UACGAAGGGGGCUAGCGUUGCUCGGAUUGACUGGGCGUAAAGGGCGCGUAGGCGGUUCGUACAGUCAGACGUGAAAUUCCUGGGCUCAACCUGGGGGCUGCGUUUGAUACGUGCGGGCUUGAGUGCGGAAGAGGGUCGUGGAAUUCCCAGUGUAGAGGUGAAAUUCGUAGAUAUUGGGAAGAACACCGGUGGCGAAGGCGGCGACCUGGUCCGAUACUGACGCUGAGGUGCGAAAGCGUGGGGAGCAAACAGG